rnacentral:misc_RNA from 1 species
UCUACCCAGCUAUAUGAUGGUCCAGAGGAAUGGGUGACCAUUCUCAUCACCUCAUGCCACUUGAAACCAGAGUUUGAAAGCACCAGCCCUAUGUGCCUUGCAAAGGUUUUGGAUUCAAGAAAGAAAGAAAUCAAAAGUUAAGGUGUUGAAAAUAAUACACUUCUAAUGGCAUUCCCAUAUCUGAUUCGUCGCUUAUUUAGACGGAAACGGUUUUUUGGAUUGAUUGCUGGUGUAGGGUUGAUUUUUCUCUUAUAUCAGUUUUGGCUGAGCAUUGAACUAUCAAAACGAAGAAAUCAAGUUUUAAAACAUCAAAAUAUUGUUAGCACCAAACCAUAUCAAAAAGCUGAUGCUGUAAUUGACGUAAUUAAUGGAGGCAUCCUGAAUGGACAAAAAAAAUACCAACAAUCUAAUUUACAUAAGAAGAACUCUAAUUUACCCCAACAGUCCAUAGAGUUCCAAAAGAAAUACAGUAAAGAUUUAAAUCAGGCUCAGCAUUUGGAGCAAAUGAACCACCCAUUUGUUUUGGGUGUGCUGUCCAGCCAACAGAAGUUAUAUUUACCGAAUCAGAAAGGAAUGUUUCAGUGUAUCCAAGACAAAACUCAGAUACCUCUUGAUCAGGUCAAUGAUGAUUUCUGUGAUUGUUUAGAUGGUUCAGAUGAACCAGGCACUUCAGCUUGUGUCAACAGUAGAUUUUAUUGUACUUUUCAACCUAUGCACCAUGAAGGAUCUUUGGUAAUUGUGUCCAGCAGGGUUAACGAUGGAAUAUGUGAUUGUUGUGAUGGUAGUGAUGAGUGGCUCGGGAAGCAGCCUCCAUUUCAUGUACAAAUUUCAGAAUUGAAUCAACAUCGUCUGGGAGUGUAUCAAGUUCCAUGUCAAAACCAUUGCUCCAACAGAUGAAGCAAGUAUCUUAACUAAAUUCAUUGGGGGAGGUGGCAUUAGACUCUUGAAGAACAUAUUUUGGAGUUAGGAAUGAGAGCUGUGUUGACAAGCUGGUGACUGAUCUAGUAAGGUGGACAAACCAUGAUGGUAGAUGAUCUGUGAUGAACAUUUUGACAAGGUACAAAAUGAACGAAGUGGAGACUUCUGUUCCUGUUCUUCCUUUGCUGGUAUCUGCAAUUUUUACAGUAACUACUACUCUAUACUCAGCCAUACCAAUUCAUUGGAGUGACCUGAACUCUCAGCCAGAAACUUUUUCAGUCUAACUCAAAACAAUUGAGACUCUCUGCAUUCUUCAGCAUCACAAGAGGAGCCAUAAUUGGCUUGUGCUUAUAAAAGUAAUGUUUGAAUGAUCCUUUUUUGUAUAUUGAGUCAUAUUUACUAAGAACACACAGUUUAAUGUCAAGUAUUCAGAAUUGUUUAGAGCCAUAGCUUUUUUUCUACCAACACUGUGUGGUAAUGUGUUGGUUUAUUGUUGAAGAGGUUAUCCUGAAGAUGCAAGUUUUUCUUUGUUUUGUUUUCUUUCAAAUGAAGAAAUUUACUUAAGAAGAAAUUCUGGACUUUUGAGCUGUGUAAAAAGAAUUUCUUUUAGUUUUAUAUUGUAAGUAAAAAUUCAUCUGGCUAUGAAAUGCAUUUGUAAUUUUUUGAAAGAUCUAUCAUUUUAAUGAUAAAAUUGGUUGUUAGGUAACUGGUGAUAAAAGUUCUUUUUAUAUGUACCUAUAGAAAGAGACAUCAAAUAAUAUAGUAUAAAAUAUUAAUAAUCUUAAUAAGUUAAAAUACAAAUUACAUCAAUAAAUGUUGGAAAUAUUCAGGUAUGUUUGAGGCUUUCCUUAACUGUAAUUAUAUUUUAUGUUUAAUAUAGAUACUUGAACUUUUCCUGUCUUGAGAUUUAUUAUAUGUGUUUAAGAAAUGGUAAUGCAUAAAUAGUGACAUCUUUUAUUGUUGCAACUAUGGUGGAAGUUGCUUGGUAUGUGAAUUGUUUAAACUUGCAUAGCAGAAUCAGUUAUAUUAUUGUAAAUUGGGUAUAUUGUAAAGGGCUUGUAUAUUUACUAAGAUAGCUUUAUGGUUUUAUAUAUUACAUUUGAUACUAGGAUACAGUUGUUUUGAAAUUAAAUACAUUUGUUAGCAUAGAGCGUGAACAGUUUCUAGUCUUUUGUGUAGUGUUGUAUUUUGCCUAGCAGCUCCACUGUAAUUUUAGUUUGAUGUUUUAUUUGUUGUUUUGUAGUAAUUAUCAAAAACAGAUUACAAACUUAGCCAUUGAUUUUUUUUUUUUCACUUGAGAAAGUUGUAUGUGGUUAUUAGGCAGCUGUAGAAUAUGUACAAUUCAUUUCAAAAAAUGUUAAUAGUUUAGAUAGAAAAAUAUUUGACAAUUUAGAUGUUUAAAAGACUAUGGAAUAGCUGGCCAUUUAAUUUUUAUAUUCUAUGUGAGAUAAGUUCUAGAAUUAAAAAGAAAAAAGAACUAAAUUAGGCUGUAAACAAUGACCUUUAAAGUUUGCUGUACAGUGUGGAAAAUCCUAGGUGAUGAUUUAUAAUUUCUGUUGUUCUUUCUGGCAACUCUUCCAGUGGCUUAGCAGUAAGUUUGAAGGUUUAUGUCACUAAAAACUGGGUUUCUAUACUUGUGAUGUACACAGCACAGAUAACCCAUUGUGUAACUUUGCAAUUAUCAACAAACAAACAUUCUGACAAUAAACAUAUACAGUUGAAGAAUGAAGUGAGAGAUCAUUGUGGAUCACUUGGAUAAUCACUGUGUAAUUGAUAGAUAGCACUCGGCAUAACCGUAAGAAGGAUAUUUUUGUCUGGCCAACUUACUAGCUUCUGUAACUAGGUUUUUUUGUUUAUUUUAUUUUUUAAUAAAGGAAUCCCAUUGGUUGUUA